rnacentral:rRNA from 1 species
UACGUAGGUGGCAAGCGUUGUCCGGAUUUACUGGGCGUAAAGAGCGCGCAGGCGGUCGUUCAAGUCGCGUGUGAAAGCCCCCGGCUUAACCGGGGAGGGUCGUUGGGGACGGCGGGGCUUGAGGGCGGGAGAGGUCGGUGGAAUUCCCGGUGUAGUGGUGAAAUGCGUAGAGAUCGGGAGGAACACCUGUGGCGAAGGCGGCCGACUGGGCCGACCCUGACGCUGAGGCGCGAAGGCGUGGGGAGCGAACGGG